CGGCACGGGUGAGUAACACGUAUCCAACCUGCCGUCUACUCUUGGCCAGCCUUCUGAAGGAAGAUUAAUCCAGGAUGGCAUCAUGAGUUCACAUGUCCGCAUGAUUAAAGGUAUUUUCCGGUAGACGAUGGGGAUGCGUUCCAUUAGAUAGUAGGCGGGGUAACGGCCCACCUAGUCAACGAUGGAUAGGGGUUCUGAGAGGAAGGUCCCCCACAUUGGAACUGAGACACGGUCCAA
rnacentral:rRNA from 1 species